rnacentral:lncRNA from 1 species
AUGUCUGGAAGGCUGUGGUCCAAGGCCAUUUUUGCUGAGUAUAAGUGGGGUCUCCAGAACCAAAGACAGCACACAGCUCUUUUUAAAAUAGAAGGUGCUUAUGCCCAAAAUGAAACAGAAUUCUAUUCGGGCAUAAGAUGUGCUUAUAUAUACAAAACAAAGAACAACAAAGUGACUCCUGGUGGCAAACCAAACAAAAUCAGAGUAAUCUAGGGAAAGGUAACUCGGUCCCAGGGAAAUAGUGGCAUGGUUCACGCCAAAUUCUGAAGCAAUCUUCCUGCUAAGGCCACUGGACACAGAAUCUGUGUGAUGCUGUACCCCUCAAGCAUUUAA